UCUUAGACUGUUAUUUUAUUCAAGGAAUAUCUUUUUAGAUAGAUAAUGAAGUUAGCUGCAAUAGUUGCUGUAAUGUUGAUAUUUAUUUUUGACGUCGCAGUAAGGAAUGUCCUAACGGCGAGGUGCACAGGUCCUGUGCCUUUAAAAUGGAGUACACUUGCUGGGUGCGUAGGGAUCGGAUGGAAAGAGUCAAAACUCUAGCGAAGCGGCUGACACACUGCAGAUCUGGAUGCUUUUGCAAGAGGGGUUUAGUACGAGAAUAUCCUGGCGGGUCCUGCAUCGCAGCCGCUGGUUGUCGCAACCGUAAUCUGCAGUCUGCACUGAAGAACC